rnacentral:rRNA from 1 species
AGGCUUAACACAUGCAAGUCGAGCGGAGUGAUGGUGCUUGCACUAUCACUUAGCGGCGGACGGGUGAGUAAUGCUUAGGAAUCUGCCUAUUAGUGGGGGACAACAUCUCGAAAGGGAUGCUAAUACCGCAUACGUCCUACGGGAGAAAGCAGGGGAUCACUUGUGACCUUGCGCUAAUAGAUGAGCCUAAGUCGGAUUAGCUAGUUGGUGGGGUAAAGGCCUACCAAGGCGACGAUCUGUAGCGGGUCUGAGAGGAUGAUCCGCCACACUGGGACUGAGACACGGCCCAGACUCCUACGGGAGGCAGCAGUGGGGAAUAUUGGACAAUGGGGGGAACCCUGAUCCAGCCAUGCCGCGUGUGUGAAGAAGGCCUUAUGGUUGUAAAGCACUUUAAGCGAGGAGGAGGCUUACCUAGUUAAUACCUGGGAUAAGUGGACGUUACUCGCAGAAUAAGCACCGGCUAACUCUGUGCCAGCAGCCGCGGUAAUACAGAGGGUGCAAGCGUUAAUCGGAUUUACUGGGCGUAAAGCGCGCGUAGGCGGCCAAUUAAGUCAAAUGUGAAAUCCCCGAGCUUAACUUGGGAAUUGCAUUCGAUACUGGUUGGCUAGAGUGUGGGAGAGGAUGGUAGAAUUCCAGGUGUAGCGGUGAAAUGCGUAGAGAUCUGGAGGAAUACCGAUGGCGAAGGCAGCCAUCUGGCCUAACACUGACGCUGAGGUGCGAAAGCAUGGGGAGCAAACAGGAUUAGAUACCCUGGUAGUCCAUGCCGUAAACGAUGUCUACUAGCCGUUGGGGCCUUUGAGGCUUUAGUGGCGCAGCUAACGCGAUAAGUAGACCGCCUGGGGAGUACGGUCGCAAGACUAAAACUCAAAUGAAUUGACGGGGGCCCGCACAAGCGGUGGAGCAUGUGGUUUAAUUCGAUGCAACGCGAAGAACCUUACCUGGCCUUGACAUAGUAGAAACUUUCCAGAGAUGGAUUGGUGCCUUCGGGAAUCUACAUACAGGUGCUGCAU